GCGGAAGGAUCAUUAUUGAAUGAACUGUGGCCAAGGCUGUUGCUGGUCCUCUCAAUGAGGGCAUGUGCAUGUCUUUUGCCCACUGACUUAUUCUACUUUCCACCUGUGCACAUUUUGUAGACACUUGGGAAUGAGAGACUUUGACUGGUCUCUUGGUUUAUGGAACUGGGUGUCUAUGCAUUUUUCAUAUACACACACUGUUGUAUGUCCAUAGAAUGUGAAUGAAAUGUAAUUAACACAACUUUCAACAAUGGAUCUCUUGGCUCUUGCAUCGAUGAAGAACGCAGCGAAAUGCGAUAAGUAAUGUGAAUUGCAGAAUUCAGUGAAUCAUCGAAUCUUUGAACGCAUCUUGCACUCCUUGGUAUUCCUUGGAGUAUGCCUGUUUGAGUAUCAUUAAACUCUCAAAAGCAUACACUUUUGUGUAUGGUUUUGGACUUGAGAGUUUGCUGGCUUUUUCCUAAAAGGUUAGCUCUCUUGAAAUGCAUUAGUGGAGCCAUUCAUUUGCACUCUAUUGGUGUGAUAAGAUAUCUACGCUGUGAGAGCAUGAUUGUAUCUGCUAUCUAACUGUCCUAUGUUGGACGGAGAUGAACAACUUGAUCUCAAA
rnacentral:rRNA from 1 species